rfam:Triticum aestivum genome assembly, contig: Triticum_aestivum_CS42_TGACv1_scaffold_306506_4AS
CUAAUACUCCCUCCGUCCCGAAUUACUUGUCGCUAAAAUGAUAGAAAUGGAUGUAUCUAGAACUAAAAAUACGUCUAGAUACAUCCAUUUCUGCAACAAUUAAUUCAGAACAGAGGAAGUAUGUA